CCCCCCCCCGGGCCCCCCCCAGCCAAGCGGCGCCUCUCCCUCCAUAGCCGCACCCCGUCACCUUUGUCACCCGACGCCAGCCACAGCACUUCGCUUCCCUCUUGGAGACAUCCUCCCUACCCGUCCUGAAGGCAAUAAAAACCUUUACAUCUAUUUCUGUAUGUGAGAAAUCCUGGGAAAACAGACGACCAUCAUUUUACAGUCCUACAGUCCUGAACUACUAAAGCUUGAAUGUUGAAUGCUCCCUGUUGUGUUUACAGAAAGAACCUAACACCAAAAUGCUAAGGAGCAUGAAGUUAAGAUGACGAUGUGAUGGAGCUCCCCGCAAUGCAGAGAAGUGGAUUUAACAGCCAGAGCUUUGAGGCCUAUGUUUCUAUGACUCACUACAAUGCAGGGAACGUGGGUAGGUAAACAAGUAUUUCAAUAGGAUUCUACCUUCAAAGAACGAGAUGCAGGCUGUAGGUGGGCAACUUCCAUGUCCAUAAAGAUACCACCCGUCAGAAGUUGAGGCACAAGAACCUCCACUGAUAGCUCAGAGAAUGAAAUACACAAAAUUGCAAUAAGCAGCCAAUACUCACAGCGACACUGGGGAGAUUCCCUCUGUGUGUACAUGCUGAAAAGAUGACAAUGACAAAACCUCAAGAGGUCCUAGCCCAUAGUUUUUCUGUAGCUGAUGAUCUAACACAUCAAAAGCACUUGGCUUUGGUUGGUUGGUUUCUUUCUGUGGACAGACUGUUAGGGUGCAAAGUAGUAUUUGCCAUCACCUUUGGACAUACUUGGAGAAGCAAAACUACAGACAAGCCAUUUCCUUCCACUAACUUCCUUUCUCACUUGGAAGCUACAUGCCAGACACCUAUAUUCCACUAAAGCCUGCUAACUAGCUUUUUAGCUAGUUGAAAAGAUCAAAACUUUAAGUUGCUUUUGAAAUUUGAACGCUACAUGGCAAUUCUACCAAAGGGUCAUUAAAAGCAUAGGAAACAUUU